GUGCCAGCCGCCGCGGUAAUACGGAGGAUGCGAGCGUUAUCCGGAUUUAUUGGGUUUAAAGGGUGCGUAGGCGGAAUUUUAAGCGUGAGGUGAAAUACCCGGGCUCAACCUGGGAACUGCCUCGCGAACUGGGAUUCUGGAAUGCUCCUGCCGUGGGAGGAAUGUGUGGUGUAGCGGUGAAAUGCAUAGAGAUCACACAGAACACCGAUUGCGAAGGCAUCUCACGAAGGGGUUAUUGACGCUGAGGCACGAAAGCGUGGGGAUCAAACAGGAUUAGAUACCCUGGUAGUCCACGCAGUAAACGAUGAUGGCUAACCGCUGGGCAGUUGUUGUUCAGUGGCCAAGCGAAAGCGAUAAGCCAUCCACCUGGGGAGUACGACCGCAAGGUUGAAACUCAAAGGAAUUGACGGGGGCCCGCACAAGCGGAGGAACAUGUGGUUUAAUUCGAUGAUACGCGAGGAACCUUACCCGGGCUCGAACGGCUGGUGAACGAUACAGAGAUGUUGAGGUCCUUCGGGACGCCAGUCGAGGUGCUGCAUGGUUGUCGUCAGCUCGUGCCGUGAGGUGUCGGCUCAAGUGCCAUAACGAGCGCAACCCUUGCCGUCAGUUACCAUCAAGUGAUGUUGGGGACUCUGGCGGGACUGCCACCGCAAGGUGUGAGGAAGGGGGGGAUGACGUCAAAUCAGCACGGCCCUUACGUCCGGGGCGACACACGUGUUACAAUGGCGGCCACAGAGGGGCACUACCUGGUGACAGGAUGGGAAUCUCGAAAAGCCGUCUCAGUCCGGAUCGGAGUCUGCAACCCGACUCCGUGAAGCUGGAUUCGCUAGUAAUCGCGCAUCAGCCAUGGCGCGGUGAAUACGUUCCCGGGCCUUGUACACACCGCCCGU
rnacentral:rRNA from 1 species